AAAACUCAACAAUAAAGUACGUCUUAUUACAUUAUUUUAUUUUUUCAAUACUACACAUUCUUUGGAUAACUGGCUUGUGGCAGCCAAGCGUUCAUAUCAACGCUGCUUUUUUAUCCUUCGAUGUUGGCUCUCCCUAUCAUACUGAAGCAGAAUUCCGUAAGCGUUGGAUUGUUUGCCCUCUAAUAGGGAACAAGAGCCGGGGUUUAGACCGUCCUGAGACAGGUUAGUUUUACCCUACUGAUGAAAUGUUGUUGCAAUAGUGAUUGAACUUAUUACAAGAGGAGCCGUUCAUUCGGAUAAUUGGUAUUUGGGCCUGCCUGAGCAGGCAAUGGCUGGAAGCUAUCAUCCAUUGGGUUAUGGCUAAACGCCUCUAAGUCAGAAUCUGUGCUAGAACGGGACGACUACCGUCUUGUGCCAUUUUUAGUUGAAUAUGAAUAGACCUACGGUCCUGAAACUUCGAACGUGGGAUUAUCUUGUAGAGCGGAAUGGCUUUGCUAGGUUCCCAUUAAUGUUAAUUUCAAAUAUUGGAAGAGAAAAAUCCAUUACCGACAACCUUAAUUGGACGAGGUAUUGUAAACAGUAGACUCUUACUCUGUUUUAUUU
rnacentral:ncRNA from 1 species